UAGCUCAGUUGGUAGAGUGCUUGCCUUGUAUGCACAAAGCCCUGGGUUCAAUCCCCAG
rnacentral:tRNA from 1 species